rnacentral:rRNA from 1 species
UACGAAGGGGGCGAGCGUUGUUCGGAUUUACUGGGCGUAAAGGGCGCGUAGGCGGCGGGUCAAGUCGAGUGUGAAAGCCCCGGGCUCAACCUGGGAGGUGCGCUCGAGACUGGUCUGCUAGAGUUCGGGAGAGGAGCGUGGAAUUCCCAGUGUAGAGGUGAAAUUCGUAGAUAUUUGGAGGAACACCAGUGGCGAAGGCGGCUCACUGGUCCAUUACUGACGCUGAGGUGCGAAAGCGUGGGGAGCAAACAGG